rnacentral:rRNA from 1 species
GCAUGUCUUGGUUCAUGCCCUUGCAAGGCUAAACCGCGAAUGGCUCAUUAAAUCAGUUAUGGUUCCUUAGAUCAUACACGUUUACUUGGAUAACCGUGGCAAUUCUAGAGCUAAUACAUGCAACUGAGUCCUCGCCCUCUCGGGGGUGAGGAUGCUUUUAUUAGACCAAGACCAGACGGGCUCGUCCCGAAAGUCAAGGUGACUCUGAGUAACUACGGGCGGAUCGCACGGUCUUUGUACCGGCGACGCAUCUUCCGAGUGUCUGCCCUAUCAACUGUCGAUGGUAGGUUAUGCGCCUACCAUGGUUGUAACGGGUAACGGGGAAUCAGCGUUCGAUUCCGGAGAGGGAGCCUGAGAAACGGCUACCACAUCCAAGGAAGGCAGCAGGCGCGCAAAUUACCCACUCUCAGCGCGAGGAGGUAGUGACGAUAAAUAACAAUACGGGACUCUAACGAGGCCCCGUAAUUGGAAUGAGCACAGCUUAAAGCCUUUAACGAGGAUCAAUUGGAGGGCAAGUCUGGUGCCAGCAGCCGCGGUAACACCAGCUCCAAUAGCGUAUAUUAAAGUUGUUGCGUUUAAAAAGCUCGUAGUUGGAUCUCAGUCGGCGCUCCGCGGCGCGUCGAAAGGCGUCGGUUGCGGGGGCCGUCAAUUGUUGGUGGGCUUGGUUGGCCUUAAAAAGCUGAUCUCGUUCUCCGGCAGAUUUCACUUUGAAAAAAUUGGGGUGCUCAGAGCAGGCCGGGGCCUGGACAUUGGUGCAUGGAAUGAUGGAAUAGGACCUCGGUUCUAUUUUGUUGGUUUUUGGAGUCCGAGGUAAUGAUUAAGAGGGACAGACGGGGGCAUUCGUACUGCGACGCUAGAGGUGAAAUUCUUGGACCGUUGCAAGACGAACUACUGCGAAAGCAUUUGCCAAGAAUGUUUUCAUUAAUCAAGAACGAAAGUUAGAGGUUCGAAGGCGAUCAGAUACCGCCCUAGUUCUAACCAUAAACGAUGCCAACCGGCGAUCAGCCCGAGUUCCUUAAACGACUCGGCUGGCAGCCUCCGGGAAACCAAAGUCUUUGGGUUCCGGGGGGAGUAUGGUUGCAAAGCUGAAACUUAAAGGAAUUGACGGAAGGGCACCACCAGGAGUGGAGCCUGCGGCUUAAUUUGACUCAACACGGGGAAACUUACCCGGCCCGGACACCGGAAGGAUUGACAGAUUGAUAGCUCUUUCUUGAUUCGGUGGGUGGUGGUGCAUGGCCGUUCUUAGUUGGUGGAGCGAUUUGUCUGGUUAAUUCCGAUAACGAACGAGACUCUAGCCUGCUAAAUAGGCCCGCGGUCCGUGGUACCGCGACACGGUCUUCUUAGAGGGACAGGCGGCUCUUAGCCGCACGAAACAGAGCAAUAACAGGUCUGUGAUGCCCUUAGAUGUCCGGGGCCGCACGCGCGCUACACUGGAGGAAUCAGCGGGCAUUUUUCCUGGUCCGAAAGGAUCGGGUAACCCUGUGAACUUCCUUCGUGAUUGGGAUAGGGGAUUGGAACUGUUCCCCUCGAACGAGGAAUUCCCAGUAAGUGCGGGUCAUCAGCUCGCGUUGAUUACGUCCCUGCCCUUUGUGCACACCGCCUGUCGCUACUAUCGAUUGAAUGAUUUAGUGAGGUCUUCGGACCGAGUCGAAAGAUGGGCUUCGCGCCUCGUCUCCGAUUCGGAAAGAUGCCCGAACUUGGUCAUUUAGAGAAAGUAAAAGUCAUAACAAGGUUGCC